rnacentral:rRNA from 1 species
AGUUUGAUCAUGGCUCAGAUUGAACGCUGGCGGGAUGCUACACAUGCAAGUCGAACGGCAGCACGGACUUCGGUCUGGUGGCGAGUGGCGAACGGGUGAGUAAUGUAUCGGAACGUGCCUAGUAGCGGGGAUAACUACGCGAAAGCGUAGCUAAUACCGCAUACGCCCUUCGGGGGAAAGCGGGGACCUUCGGGCCUCGCACUAUUGGAAGCGGCCGAUAUCGGAUUAGCUAGUUGGUGGGGUAACGGCUCACCAAGGCGACGAUCAUAGCUGGUUUGAGAGGACGACCAGCCACACUGGGACUGAGACACGGCCCAGACUCCUACGGGAGGCAGCAGUGGGGAAUUUUGGACAAUGGGGGAAACCCUGAUCCAGCCAUCCCGCGUGUGCGAUGAAGGCCUUCGGGUUGUAAAGCACUUUUGGCAGGAAAACGGCACGGGAUAAUACCCCGUGCAACUGACGAAGAUACCUGCAGAAUAAGCACCGGCUAACUACGUGCCAGCAGCCGCGGUAAUACGUAGGGUGCAAGCGUUAAUCAGGUUACUGGGCGUAAAGCGUGCGCAGGCAUGGUUCGGAAAAGAUGUGAAAUCCCAGAGCUUAACUUUGGAACUGCAUUUUUUUUAACUACCGAGCUAGAGUGUGUCAGAGGGAGGUGGAAUUCCGCGAUAGUAACAGUGAAAUGCGUGAAUCUAAUAGGAGAACACCGUCGUAAAAAUGACCUCCUGGGAUAACACUGACGCUCAUGCACAAGCGUGGGAGCAAACAGGAUUUUAGAUACCCUGGUAGUCCACGCCCUAAACGAUGUCAACUAGCUGUUGGGGCCUUCGGGCCUUGGUAAGGCCGCAACUAACGCGUGAAGUUGACCGCCUGGGAAGUACAGUCGCAAGAUUAAAACUCAAAGAAAUUGACGGGGACCCGCACAAGCGGUGGAUGAUGUGGAUUAAUUCGAUGCAACGCGAAAAACCUUACCUACCCUUGACAUGUCUGGAAUCCCGAAGAGAUUUGGGAGUGCUCGCAAGAGAACCGGAACACAGGUUGCUGCAUGGCUGUCGUCAGCUCGUGUCGUGAAUGUUGGGUUAAGUCCCGCAGCCAGAGCGCAACCCUUGUCAUUAGUUGCUACGAAGGGCACUCUAAUGAGACUGCCGGUGACAAACCGGAGGAAGGUGGGGAUGACGUCAAGUCCUCAUGGCCCUUAUGGGUAGGGCUUCACACGUCAUACAAUGGUCGGGACAGAGGGUCGCCAACCCGCGAGGGGGAGCCAAUCCCAGAAACCCGAUCGUAGUCGGAUCGCAGUCUGCAACUCGACUGCGUGAAGUCGGAAUCGCUAGUAAUCGCGGAUCAACAUGUCGCGGUGAAUACGUUCCCGGGUCUUGUACACACCGCCCGUCACACCAUGGGAGUGGGUUUUACCAGAAGUAGUUAACCGUAAGGAGGGCGAUUACCACACGUGGGAUUCAUGACUGGGGUGAAGUCGUAACAAGGUAG